AUGAUUGACCUACGGUCACAUAGCUGGCUAAUAAGCAGAUGGAGGGGUGAGGAGACCGGCUGUGUAGCAGCUGGGCCCGUGCCCUUUCCUCGUGCCCCUCACUCCAGAUGCAAUCUCCCUGAACCCCAACAUUUUCUUCUCUUACAGGAACGGGCUCAGGCACGUACAUUCCCUCCUCUCUCACCUAUGUUUGAAAUCUUACAUCGUAGGGGCUCUGUGAGUGAGACAGGCAGCCCGGCCCCUCAGGGAGCAGACCACCCAACCAGGCAGACAGAGAGACAGACACAGCAUAAGGCUGUCAGAAGGGACAGGAUGCCGCAGAGAGCAAGUCCAGAGAGCAGCAGCUGUCUCAUCAAGUAGAACACAGAGCCAUGGAUUUGUCCCCCACUGAUGCUCCUAGCUUCCCCUAGGCAUGUUAUGGUGCUACAGCCCCACCCAGGAAAAGAAGCGAUCUCCUUUGGCAAUCACACCAGGUGAGCUAGAUGGUGUGAUUCACUGAAGAGUCAUUCCCCCAAACCUGGAAAUACUCAGAAGCGAAAGGCUUGAAAAUACUCAAAAGCAGAUUACAUUUUUAAAAUACAAAUUUGUCCUUGGAAUUAUAAAAAGAAAUCACAUUAUGGAGAGUUUAGAUUAGAAAAACUGGUACUUUCUCAUGCUUUAUGUCUCUCUCUCUCUUAAAUGUCAUUUUUUCACAGAGGCAUCCCUAACCAUCCUAUCUAAUUAGAUCUUCUGUGGCCCUGCAUUUUUUAAAUUGAAGUAUGAUUAAUGUACAGAGUUACAUUAGUUUCAAGUAUACAAUAGAACGGUUCAGCGAUUCUGCACAUUACGCAGCGCUCAUCAUGAUGAGCGUAUCUUAAUCCCCUUCAUCUAUUUCACCCAUUCCCCCACCCAUCUCCCCUCUGGUAGCCAUCGGUUUGUUCUGUAGUUUUUUAUUUGUCUUUUUUUUCUUUGUUUGUUCAUUUGUUUUGUUUCUUAAAUUCCACAUAUGAGUGAAAUCAUAUGAUAUUUGUCUUUCCUCCUCUGACUUAUUUCACUUAGCAUAGUAUCUUCUAGAUCUAUCCAUGUUGUUGAUAAUGGGAAGAUUUCACUAUUUUUUAUGGCUGAGUAAUAUUCCAUUAUGUAUAUAUGAUCACACAUACACACACCCCACUUCUUUAUCCCUCCAUCUAUCAGUGGAUACUUAUGUUGCUUAUGUAUGUUGACUAUUGUAAAUAAUGCUAUAAUAAACAUAGGGGUCCACAUAUCUUUUUGAGUUAGUUUUUGUUUUCUUUGGGUAAAUACUCAGUAGCGGAAUUACUGGAUUGCAUGGUCAUUCUACUUUUAAAAUUUAGAGGAACCUCCAUACCAUUUUCUGUAAUGGCUGUACUAGUUUGUAUUCACACCAACAGUGUAUGAAGGGUCCUUUUUCUCUACAAUCUUCACUAGCACUUGUUAUUUCUUGUCAUUUUGAGUCUAGUCAUUCAGACUGGUAUGAGAUGAUAUCACACUGUAGUUUUAAUUUAUAUUUCCCUGGUGAUGAGUGAUGUUGAGCAUCUUUUCAUGUGUCUGUUGGCCAUUCUUAUAUCUUCUAUGGAAAAAUGUCUAUUCAAGUUCUGCCCAUAUUUUAACUGAGUUGUUUUUAUGAUGUUGAGUUGUAGGAGUUCUUUAUAUAUUUUGGAUAUUAACCCCUUUUCAGGCAUAUCAUUUAUAAAUAUCUUCUCCAAUGGUUUCCUUUGCCAUGCAGAACCUUUUUAUUUUGGUGUAGUCCAAAUUUAAUUUUGCUUUUGUUUCCUUUGCCUCAGGAGACAUAUCUGGAAAAAUGUUCCUAUGUCUGAUGUCAAAGAGAUUACUGCCCACGUUUUCUUUCUAGGAAUUUCAUGGUUUUAGCUCUCACAUUUAGGUCCUCAAUCCAUUUUGAACUUAUUUUUGUGUUUGGUGGAAGAAAGUGGUCCUGUUCCAUCCUUUUGCAUGUAGCUGUCCAGUUUUUCCCAACACCAUUUAUUGAAGAGAUGGUCUUUUCCCCAUUGCAUAUUCUUGCCUCCUUUGUUGUAGAUUAAUUGACCAUAGAUGUGUGGGUUUAUAUCUGGGCUCUCUGUUAAGUUCCACUGAUCUAUGUGUCUAUUUUUUUUUUUUUUGCCAGCACCAUACUGUUUUGAUUACUACAGCUUUGUAGUAUAUCUUGAAAUCUGGGAGUGUGAUACCUUCAGCUUUGGUUUUCUUUCUCAAGAUUGGCUUGGCUGGCCCUGUUUUUGUUUAAACACACACUUACCUAGCCUUGUUAUGGGUCAGACACUAUUUUAAGGGCUUUGCAAGGAUUAACUCAUUCAAUCUUCACAGAAGUCUUGUCAGGUACUCUUACUUGCUCUACUUUAUGGUUCUGGGGGAAACCAAGGCACACAGAGGUCAGGAAAUCCAGCCAGGGCGGUAUAGCUGGUGAGGGGCGGGGCUGGGGUUCACAAUGCCCAGAUGGUUUCCCAACCAGGGGUCUCGGGCAUCGAGUUCUGCUCCCCCAAUCGCAGCUUGCAGUGUGCUUCGUCCACUGUCUCCUCCUCCUCUGGCAGCUGAGCUCCUUGUCCUCACAUCCAUUUUGGUCAGCAAAGCUGAGCGAAUAAACAAAGGCUGAGCAAGGCGAAAUGCCCAUAAUCUAACUCCCUUAGACACUAAUUAUGAUAAUUUUCACAGAUUGUAGAUCUUCACACCAUGGGGAGGAACCACUCCUGCCAAUCCCACUGUCAUCUUUGUGAGGGCAGAACGGCCAGCUGUGCCAACACACCGGGGGCAAGAGGCCAGUGAGGUGCCUCGUGCCAGUACCUGGCUCCUGCUUGGCUGCUCCCGGCUCCUCCGUCUUGCUCUUGCCCUGGCUCACUCCCUUGCUGUCUCUCUGAACCUCCUUAUUGCUCUCUGCCUGGCGCAUCCUCUUCUCUUUGUUCCCGUCUGGACCUCCAGACCCUCCCCAAAACUACUGGGGUUUGAGGACAUAAAACAGAAAUAUUAUUUUAUAGGGGCCCCUGGGUGGCUCAGUCAGUUAAGCAUCCGACUUUGGCUCAGGUCAUGAUGUCAUGGUCUGUGAGUUCAAGCCCCACGUGCAUCGGGCUCUGUGCUGACAGCUCAGAACCUGGAGCCGGCUUUGGAUUCUCGGUGUGUGUGUCUCUCUCUGCCCCUCUCCCCCUCUCAAAAAUAAACAUUAAAAAUUUUUUAAAAGGAAUUUUAUUUUAUAAACUCUAUGGCAGUGUAAAACAAACAUUAGCAUAGCUGGCAUAAGAUGUAGGGAGGUGGUUACUUUGGCAUCUUAAGAAGCAGUUUAAGUUGCAUUAUCUGUUACCUGUUGGAAUCCCAGGUCCUGUCUGAUCUCUGCAUUGGCUGCCCCUUGCAGUGGUGGUGCCAAGGGUGGUUGGACGCCCCUGAGUUUCCAUUAGUUCCAAACAGAAGUGCAAUAUUGCCAAAAAUGGUGU
rnacentral:lncRNA from 1 species